CGGGGUAUAGCUCAAUUGGCAGAGCGCUUGGUUCGGGACCAAGAGGUUGCAGGUUCAACCCCUGCUACCCCGA
rnacentral:tRNA from 1 species